rnacentral:sRNA from 1 species
CAGCAACUGUGAUAUAGUUGUAAAGAUGUUAAAAGUUAAAAACACAAAUCUAUUUUGAGACCUCUUUUACUUAUUAUUGGUCAAGGUUUUUGGUUUUAAGCUUUUUGAUCAAUUCAAAGAAGAGGAGGGGUUUCAACAUGACAGGUAAAGUAAAAUGGUUCAAUUCGGAUAAAGGUUUCGGUUUUAUCGAAACUAGCGAAGGUAACGAUGUAUUCGUUCACUUUUCCGCUAUCCAAGCCGAAGGUUUUAAAAACCUUGAAGAAGGUCAAGACGUAUCUUUUGACGUAGUCGAAGGUAAUCGUGGUCCUCAAGCCGCUAAUGUUGUAGGUAGAUAAUAUUUUAAUGAUCAAAAAAGGCAAUUCCUAACCGGAACUGCCUUUUUU